AGGUUUUGCUCAUAGGUGGCAGUAGCUUCACCAUGCUGGGCCGGCCGCUACUGAGUAUGUCCCAGGUGCGGGUGGAGGCGACUGUCCUGGAGAAGACAAUUGGACAAACCGUCUUCUGGUUCCACUUCAA